AGGCCUAAUACAUGCAAGUCGAACGCACCUUCGGGUGAGUGGCGGACGGGUGAGUAACACGUGGGAACGUGCCCUUUGGUUCGGAAUAAUCCGGGGAAACCUGGCCUAAUACCGAAUGUGCCCUACGGGGGAAAGAUUUAUCGCCAUUGGAGCGGCCCGCGUCUGAUUAGCUAGUUGGUGGGGUAAUGGCCCACCAAGGCGACGAUCAGUAGCUGGUCUGAGAGGAUGAUCAGCCACACUGGGACUGAGACACGGCCCAG
rnacentral:rRNA from 1 species